rnacentral:lncRNA from 1 species
AUAAAAUAUAAAUGUAUGAUUAUAAUUGUCGGAAUAAUGUCAUAUGUUGAGUACAUCGAUCGAUAAACUAAAAAAAAAUACUAUAAGACAAUAUAUUAUAUAAUAAAUUAGUAAAUUUGAUAUAACAAAUUAAAAAAUUUAAAAAAUAGUAUAAUUAUGAAAAUAAUAUCAUACGUUGAGCACAACGUUCAGUUACUCAAACAAAUGACAUUAUAAUAAAUUUAAUGAAUUCGAAAUAAAUAAAAUAUAAAGGAAUUACUAUAAUUGUGAAAAUAAAAAUGUAAAAAUAUAUAUAAAAAAGAACAAAACAAAUUAAAACAAAAAUGAAAAAGGAAAUGAAAAGAAAAACAAAACAAAAAGUAUUAUAAGUACAAUUAAAUAUUAGAGGAAUAUUAUGAUGUUUUUUACGAGCUAACUGAUGAAAUUGAGGUUUAUUAUAAAAGAAAAAGAAAAAUAAAAACCCAUGAAAGCACAAGAACGCAGUCUAAGGGUAUGAAACUCGAAAAGAGAUUGUUAAACAAAAAGAGACCUAAUCAAAGGCUCUAGCAAACACAGGACAUCUAUGCAUCUACCAAAGAGGAUCGUCAUCCAUUUCAUCCGACCAACGUCUAUGGACUACAUUAUUCAUUGCACGCAUGCUAGCACUAUUGCUAGUAUCAACCACAAAGUCCC